ACAAGGCUUGCCUGGGCUCCAGGAAGCUCGUUCUUGGCAUUCCAUGUGGAAGGACUGUCAUUCCUCAUCCCAUACCUGUGGUUUUCUUUGAAGCACAGCAGGAAAGCAGGGUUGCCCCAGUCUGCCAGAUGAUGGGCCAGUGACAAGGCUGUGCCUGUAGAAAAGAGAAACCACUAAGCAAAGUUCGGCCUCUAGACAGAGAAAAAAAGCAAAGAGGAAUUGAUGGAGACCUGGUGUCUUGCUGAGGAGAACAAAAUGGUGAUUCUGUCAUCACAAAUGGGAAAAACUAUGUUACACUGGAGGCUUUUACUGCUUCCCCAAAACCAGCAUGAGAAAAACAGACCAAGACUAUCUGAUGGAACAUCAGUGAGGAGUUACAACAGAGAAAAAGUCUCAGGGUCUUCAGAGAGACCAUACACCCUUUGGUGAAUUACCUGCCUGCUCCCUUCUAGGCUGCUAAAAAGUCAGUAAAAAAGAGACUCUACAGUCUGUGCAGAGUGUGGCUUUCUGUGUUUGAGAUGAUGACAAAUUGCUUGCUAAACACCAGACCCAGACUACAAUAAAGGCUUUGCUUUUUCAGAGGGACAGUUGCUCAAUAUCUUCAGCUUUAGAAAGCAUUUUUCUCCCCAUUAUAGCACUAAUUUUUCACUGGUUCUUCUGCCCAUUAAAGUUGUCAAAAUGCUAUAUGCCAUUUUUCCUAAAUGAAACCAGAGUUGACGCUCUGUUUGUCCUGCCCUGCUGUCUUCCAGGCUGGAGCCCAGAUCAACAAAGGUCCUUCAGCUACU